rnacentral:lncRNA from 1 species
GGCUGAAUGGGCAUUCAAAUGGGCAGCUUAAGCAUGAAGCAAAUGCACCUUGCAAAGAUGAAUGCAUCGGUAGAUCAAUGGUCUUGUCCAGGUUCGGCCUUGCUCUUAAAUUACUCCUUAAAUUGGCACUUGUUGGAUGAAAAGAUAGGAACAUUAAAGAUAGUUGUUGAACAGCCACACAAGUGUGAAAAGUCAGUUUUGAAGAGUCAAAUAUGUGAACAUAUAGAACCGAACAGCCAAGAUGAAUCCAGCAAUGUGAAAAGAAUUAAAAGUCGGCUGAAUGGUCAACUUGGGAGUAGGAAACAAUAGCUUCUUUGGCCGAAUGGUCACCUAGGAUACUUCAAACAGCAGCCAAAUUUAAUUCCCCAAACAUGCAUGUGCC